AUGCCAUGUCCUGAACUGCUUUCCUCCUUCCACCCUGAUGUUCUGCUUCACUUUGGGCCCAGGGCUAUGGAGUCAGCUGACCAUGGACUGAGACCUCUGAAAUUCUAUCCAAGUCCCACUCAGCCCUUAAGGUCAAGUUCAGAGUCUAUAGUUGCAAAGAAGACUAUCUUGACCCUUACUGACUUUCCAGCACCUCUCUCCCCAGCUGACAGGGACUGAGGAAAGGAACUGUUCCUUCUCCAUAACCUCAGUGCAUCCUGUGAACAUUCUGUGAACUACCAACCUUGCUCACUCUCACUCACUGGACUGUAAAGUCUUUGAUGCAAGAAACUCUGCCUCCUUCUUCAUAAUCUCAGUGCCUUGAUAACUGAUGAGCAUGUAAAGAUGAAGUACUCAAGAUGCCUACUGAAGUGACAUGCUCAGAAGAUACCUAGGAACAAUAUCUAGUAACACUCUGUGUGCAAUGGCAAAAGAAUGCUCAGAAUAAAAUACAAUAGUGUGUACAGGCUGAGAUAUUGUUAUAUUAUUGGUGACACUGGAUUGGAUGUGGGUGAACAGGAGGAGGAUGUUGUCAAAGAUCACUUGAAGAUUCCUUGCCUCGAUAUCUGGAAUGACAUGAUAUGGACCUUCCUAAUCCACCCUUUGUAGAAGAGAGAUAGUUGGGAUUCAAAUGAAUAAAUGGUCUCCAGCCUUC